UUGUUCCUACGGGACGCAGCAGUGGGGAAUAUUGCACAAUGGGGGAAACCCUGAUGCAGCGACGCCGCGUGGAGGAAGAAGGUCUUCGGAUUGUAAACUCCUGUCCUUGGGGACGAUAAUGACGGUACCCAAGGAGGAAGCACCGGCUAACUACGUGCCAGCAGCCGCGGUAAAACGUAGGGUGCAAGCGUUGUCCGGAAUUACUGGGUGUAAAGGGAGCGCAGGCGGAUUGACAAGUUGGGAGUGAAAGCUACGGGCCCAACCCGUAACCUGCUUUCAAAACUGUCAGUCUUGAGUGGUGUAGG
rnacentral:rRNA from 1 species